UGGGGGAUAUUGCACAAUGGGCGAAAGCCUGAUGCAGCGACGCCGCGUGGGGGAUGAAGGCUUUCGGGUUGUAAACCUCUUUCGCUAUCGAACAAGGCCCGCUUAGGGUGGGUGGAGGGUAGGUGGAGAAGAAGCGCCGGCUAACUACGUGCCAGCAGCCGCGGUAAUACGUAGGGCGCGAGCGUUGUCCGGAAUUAUUGGGCGUAAAGGGCUUGUAGGCGGCUUGUUGCGCCUGCUGUGAAAACGCGGGGCUUAACUUCGCGCGUGCAGUGGGUACGGGCAGGCUUGAGUGUUGUAGGGGUGACUGGAAUUCCAGGUGUAGCGGUGGAAUGCGCAGAUAUCUGGAGGAACACCGAUGGCGAAGGCAGGUCACUGGGCCAUUACUGACGCUGAGGAGCGAAAGCAUGGGUAGCGAACAGG
rnacentral:rRNA from 1 species